rnacentral:rRNA from 1 species
CUACGUGCCAGCAGCCGCGGUAAUACGGAAGGUCCAGGCGUUAUCCGGAUUUAUUGGGUUUAAAGGGAGCGUAGGCUGGAGAUUAAGUGUGUUGUGAAAUGUAGACGCUUAACGUCUGAAUUGCAGCGCAUACUGGUUUCCUUGAGUACGCACAACGUUGGCGGAAUUCGUCGUGUAGCGGUGAAAUGCUUAGAUAUGACGAAGAACUCCGAUUGCGAAGGCAGCUGACGGGAGCGCAACUGACGCUUAAGCUCGAAGGUGCGGGUAUCAAACAGGAUUAGAUACCCUGGUAGUCCGCACAGUAAACGAUGGAUGCCCGCUGUUGGUACCUGGUAUCAGCGGCUAAGCGAAAGCAUUAAGCAUCCCACCUGGGGAGUACGCCGGCAACGGUGAAACUCAAAGGAAUUGACGGGGGCCCGCACAAGCGGAGGAACAUGUGGUUUAAUUCGAUGAUACGCGAGGAACCUUACCCGGGCUUGAA